UCCGGUUUGGCACCGGCAGUCUCUCCAGAGUCCCCGGCUCGGCUUGUUUAAGGCCUCUCCGCUGGCAACUGAAGACGGGGGUUGCGCUCGUUGCGGGACUUAACCCAACAUCUCACGACACGAGCUGACGACAGCCAUGCAGCACCUGUGCACGGACCCCGAAGGGGGCCCUCCCUUUCAGGAGGCUUUCCCGUGCAUGUCAAGCCCAGGUAAGGUUCUUCGCGUUGCGUCGAAUUAAACCACAUGCUCCACCGCUUGUGCGGGCCCCCGUCAAUUCCUUUGAGUUUCAGCCUUGCGGCCGUACUCCCCAGGCGGGGCACUUAAUGCGUUAGCGCCGGCACUCGGAGGGUCGCUCCCCCGAGCACCUAGUGCCCAUCGUUUACGGCGUGGACUAC
rnacentral:misc_RNA from 1 species